UACGAAGGGGGCUAGCGUUGUUCGGAAUCACUGGGCGUAAAGCGCACGUAGGCGGAUCUUUAAGUCAGAGGUGAAAUCCCAAGGCUCAACCUUGGAACUGCCUUUGAUACUGGGGAUCUUGAGUCCGGGAGAGGUGAGUGGAACUGCGAGUGUAGAGGUGAAAUUCGUAGAUAUUCGGAGGAACACCAGAAGCGAAGGCGGCUCACUGGCCCGAGACUGACGCUGAGGCGCGAAAGCGUGGGGAGCAAACAGG
rnacentral:rRNA from 1 species